UCACUGAUGGUCCAGUGGCUAAGACCACACUUUCAGUGCCGGGGGCCCAGGUUCAAUCCCUGGUCAGGGAA
rnacentral:tRNA from 1 species